UCCAGACUCCUACGGGAGGCAGCAGUGGGGAAUAUUGCACAAUGGGGGAAACCCUGAUGCAGCGACGCCGCGUGAGUGAAGAAGUAUUUCGGUAUGUAAAGCUCUAUCAGCAGGGAAGAUAAUGACGGUACCUGACUAAGAAGCCCCGGCUAACUACGUGCCAGCAGCCGCGGUAAUACGUAGGGGGCAAGCGUUAUCCGGAUUUACUGGGUGUAAAGGGUGCGCAGGUGGCAGGGCAAGUCAGAUGUGAAAGCCCGGGGCUCAACCCCGGUAUUGCAUUUGAAACUGUCCGGCUAGAGUGCAGGAGAGGUAAGCGGAAUUCCUAGUGUAGCGGUGAAAUGCGUAGAUAUUAGGAGGAACACCAGUGGCGAAGGCGGCUUACUGGACUGUAACUGACACUGAGGCACGAAAGCGUGGGGAGCAAACAGGAUUAGAUACCCUAGUA
rnacentral:rRNA from 1 species